AUUGAACGCUGGCGGCAGGCCUAACACAUGCAAGUCGAGCGGUAGAGAGAAGCUUGCUUCUCUUGAGAGCGGCGGACGGGUGAGUAAUGCCUAGGAAUCUGCCUGGUAGUGGGGGAUAACGUUCGGAAGCGGACGCUAAUACCGCAUACGUCCUACGGGAGAAAGCAGGGGACCUUCGGGCCUUGCGCUAUCAGAUGAGCCUAGGUCGGAUUAGCUAGUUGGUGAGGUAAUGGCUCACCAAGGCGACGAUCCGUAAAUGGUCUGAGAGGGUGAGCAGUCACACUGGAACGGAGACACGGUCCAGACUCCGACGGGAGGCAGCAGUGGGGAAUAUUGGACAAUGGGCGAAAGCCUGAUCCAGCCAUGCCGCGUGUGUGAAGAAGGUCUUCGGAUUGUAAAGCACUUUAAGUUGGGAGGAAGGGUUGUAGAUUAAUACUCUGCAAUUUUGACGUUACCGACAGAAUAAGCACCGGCUAACUCUGUGCCAGCCGCCGCAGUAA
rnacentral:rRNA from 1 species